UACGUAGGGUGCAAGCGUUGUCCGGAAUUAUUGGGCGUAAAGAGCUCGUAGGCGGUUUGUUGCGUCGGCUGUGAAAUCCCGAGGCUCAACCUCGGGUCUGCAGUCGAUACGAGCAAACUAGAGUGUUGCAGGGGAGACUGGAAUUCCUGGUGUAGCGGUGAAAUGCGCAGAUAUCAGGAGGAACACCGGUGGCGAAGGCGGGUCUCUGGGCAAACAACUGACGGCUGAGGAGCGGAAGGCCAGGGAGCAAACGGG
rnacentral:rRNA from 1 species